ACCAACUGCUUUAUUAGAGGAAGCAAUGAGGAUGGUUAACUGACACUUGCGGCUUAUUUCUCAUCAUUCCAAUCACUUUGACCCCUAAUUCCCUUUUACAGAAGGUUCAUCUUGUUCCUUUUUUGUCUUUCAUUCGCUCUAGCCAUAUGAUGCCGGCCAACAUAUUGAUUCCGUAGUUUAUUCGAAAGCCUAAUAGGUUUUCUGACAUUUCUUUGUUUAUCGACAAAAACUUCUUCUUUUUAUUUUAUGAUAGGAUUCGGAUUAUGAUAUGGCAUAUGUUGACGGAAAAUAAUUCAAUCAUAUAGCUUGGGAUAUAAAUAUAUAAUUGACCACAAUUGCCACUCUUAGUUCGACCAUGAUGGGAAAUCAACGGGUUUUAUUAUGCACUCGGGAAAAAAGCCACUCUAUGUGAAGUGAAAAAGUAUGAUUGGAUUACAUUGCUUUUGUCAUUGCUCCUAUGGGUGGCAAGUUCAUUCCAUGAUUGGGGUAGCAAAGAACGUUGUCCUUCCAUUUAAGGUGGCUCCCCCCUGCGAACAGGAUCAGGUUAAAUCCCGCAAAUUUUCUAAGAAAAGUUUACUUUGACGACAGUUUACUACGAUCUGUAGUGGAAGGGACAAGAGUAAAACCCUGCGUUUGUUGAUUGAUACAAGUGUAGGAGGAGUUAAAUUCCAUAAUGGACUAUGUUAUGUUGGUAGGGAAAGACUUACAAAACAUUAUAGACAUCCAAAUGGUGAAAGACCAGAAGUUUACCUGAUGAGCGAAGAUCUGGACCAUACAGGUGCACAUAAGAUUAACAAUGCAGUUACUCAAGCUUUGUUAGCCAAGAAGUUGGGUAAAGAACAUAUCGUUGCUGAAACUGGGUGUGUCCCCGUUUAGAGUUGCAGUGUAUUAUUUAUAUGGGUGCUCAACAUAUGGAAAGACAGGCACUUAAUGUGUUCAGAAUGAAGCUACAUGGAUCAGAGGUUUGUUUGUUAGUCUCUCUCCGACUUUAACUUAUCCAACCAUUAAGAGAUGUGAACUUACCUCACCGUAGAAGUGUUAAAAAAACUGGUUAUGUGAUUCUGAUUAUUCAGGUCACAACACAUCCUAGCAUUCUUAGUUUCAGAUCAAGGCGAACCUGUCAAGCCCCAUCAAGUGUGAUGUUUACUGAUGCACCUGGUUUGUCUUGCUUAUGCUUCAUUUGAUUUGUAUGUGUGUUUCUAUGUAACUAUGUGGGCACUGUAUAAUAAUUUGUUGGGUUCUUCUGAUAAGCACUAUAUAAUUAUUAAUUAAUAUGGUUUAGACAA